UACGGAGGAUGCGAGCGUUAUCCGGAUUUAUUGGGUUUAAAGGGUGCGUAGGCGGACUGUCAAGUCAGCGGUAAAAUACGGGGGCUCAACCUCCGCCCGCCGUUGAAACUGACGGUCUUGAGUUGGGGAAAGGCAGGCGGAAUGCGCGGUGUAGCGGUGAAAUGCUUAGAUAUUGCGCAGAACUCCGAUUGCGAAGGCAGCAUACCGGCGGCGAUCUGACGCUGAGGCACGAAAGCGUGGGGAGCAAAUAGG
rnacentral:rRNA from 1 species